CGACAGGGUUGGGGGUGGGUAAGCUGCUUCCCGCGCGCUUGUGAGAGGAAGAGGAGAAAUGCUUCACUCCCCCACCGCCCACAUCGAGACUCUACGGUGUCUCCUACCUACUGACUGAAAGGCUUGUCGCUCCGCGGCCGUUACAGUGAGCGGAGCCUCUGCGGCAGCUGCCUUGCUCCUAAAGCCAGCCCCUCAGCCUCCGGUGCUCGUGCACUCACCUCCAGAUACCGACAGCCCGUCACCGUCAGUUCCUGAGAAGUGAGUUGUCUUCUGCCGAAACCAUUGGUGUCUAAUCACUCCUCCGUCUUUUUUUUUUUUUUUAAACCGGUGGUAUAAAGUAAAAAUGCAGAGCUGGUUUUUAAAGCACUGGUGUAUGAAUUUACUCAAGCCAAUUAGGAUUAUGGCACUUUAUUUAGCUGCCACUCCCCAUUGUCCUUAUAAGCCUGGGUAACCAUCUGGGUCAUCACCAAGACCUUUUGAAAUGAUGAUGGCUUUAGUGGAAACUUUAGGGAGUGACAUCUGCUUUCCAGAAAAGUAGUUGUCUCUGAAAGUGAAAUUAAACCUUUUUUUUUUUUUUUUUGCAAUACAGUAGUCUCCCUUUAUUCCUUUGUAUCCAUAAAUUCAGUUUUUAGAAUUAUUGUGCAUUUUGGGUUUAAAAGAAAGCCUCUGUAGGGGCUGCGGUUGGGGCUCAGCGGUAGAGCGCUUGCCUAGCACUUGCAAGGCGCUGGGUUCCAGCCUCAGCACCACAUAAAAAUAAAUAAAUGAAAUACUAAAAAAAAAAAAAAAAGAAAGCCUCUGUAUGUGUUUUGAAAUUGUGUAGUUUCAUAAUGUAAAAAAAAUGUUCUCUAUUUAAUAGAGUUUAUUAAUGUAAAGCACAGUUAAUUUGAAGUAAACAAAAUUUCUGCUUUUCUUGGUGGUUUCUUUUAUAAAAUCAUUUUCUCCCCAAAAUAUCACUAUAAUCCAAUUUAAAUUUGUCAUUGAAGGCAAAAUCAGGAAAUAGCAUGAAAAAUAGCAUAUUCUGAAAUCAAAGAUAACCUUAUCAUGUUUUUGAAUACAAGGUUUUUUGAUAUACCAGCAGAUGUAUAAAUUUAACUCCAAAUGGUGUUGGUGUAACCAGUAGAAAAUGUUCUCUUAUCAUUCCUUUCAUUAAACUUUCUGCUUCACUGUGGUUUUUAUUUCAGGAAAAAAUCCUCCCCCAACCCUUUCUUCUUACUGCUGCUUCUGCUUUCUCUUCUCUUAAGGCUGUGUAUUAAAAGACUGCCUCUGUAUACACAUAAUAUAUAUAUGUGAGUACGCGUACAUAUGAAUAUGCUUUAUUGAACACCUAAUCUAGCUAUUAAUAAUUUGAAAAUGUAAUUACUAGUGAUUUGAAGCCAUGAAAUGGAGUGAUUAAAAGUGGGAUACUUGGGGCUGGGGAUGUGGCUCAAGUGGUAGCACGCUCGUCUGGCAUGCGUGCGGCCCGGGUUCGAUCCUCAGCACCACAUACCAACAAAGAUGUUGUGUCUGCCAAUAACUAAAAAAAAAUAAUAAAUAAAUAAAUAUGUUUUAAAAAAAAAGUGGGAUACUUACAUGUAUAUAGUAACAUUAAAUAUUAUUUACCUUUUUGGUUUUAUAUAUAUAUAUAUAUAUAUAAUUUUUUUUAGUUGUAGGUGGACACAAUACCUUUUUUAUUUAUAUGUGGUGCUGAGGAUCAAACCCAGGACCUCACACAUGCUAGGGAAGUCCUCUGCUGCUGAGCCACAACCCAAGCCCCAUUAUUUACCAUUUUAAUCUAUUAAUUUGACUUAUAUAUAGGCCCACUUGAUUAAGUCCAAGAAAUGGACCUUAUCCUUACCAUCUCUAUAUUUACUUAAAAGCACAGAUUUUAAAUAGUAUAACCAUUGGUAAAAUUAGAAAAAUCACUUCCAAAGGAGACAAGUCUGAUUUGAAAGUUUUAAUUAUGUGGAUUAUUGUUGGAAGAGACAGAACAACAGAUACUUUCAUAAUAAAUUUAUGGAAAUGUUAGGGAAAAAAUACCCUGACGCUAUUGCUUUUUUGAGAGCACUGUUUAGGAUGAAUCCACUAAAAGCCUUGUUGAACAAAUUUUUUAACUCCUAUGCCAUAUGCCAAAUCAGUUUUAAUAACUGCCUCAAAGAAUGUUCUCAGCAUUAAAUGAGCUAGCUUUGUUAAGGGCUUAUAUGACUGAUAUUUUAGUAAAAAAUAAAUGGUGCAUUUUUAAAAUUAUUGCAUCAAAAAGUCCACCUUUAUUUGCCCAUUUGGUAGUUUGAGGGUUUUUUUGGGGAGUGGGGAGUAGUUGAUAGAUUUUCUUACUUGAGAAACAGUCCAUACUAUUGGGCAUAUGUAUGUAUGUAUGUUUGUUUUACAUUUUUAUUUAUUUUUAUGUGGUGCUGAGGAUCGAACCUAGUGCCUCACACGUGCUAGCAAAUGCUCUACUGUUAAGCCCUAGCCCCAGCCCCCAUGUGUGUUAAAUCUUUACAGAAAAGAUUUAACAGAAAAAUUACUGACUUGAAUUGAGAAAAAAAAAAUAGCUUGUUAAGGGAAGAAUGACUUUGUAUAUAAAAACAGCAUGCCUCCCAUUUUUAAAAAGAUGUGGCUAUAAAUAGCAAUUUUGCCAUGGCAAUGGAUAAAAAGAUCAGGCUUCCCAAAUUUGAUGGGUCUCAUACAGAACAUCUGAAUCCCCUUGCUCAUCCCCUAAAUCUUCUUUCUUAGUCUCUGAUUUCAAUAAAUAGCACAACCAUUCGUCAGGUUGUUUGUGCUUAAAAUUAAGAAUUUGUUUGAUUUCUCACAUUCUACAUCCAACUCAUCAACCAGUACCAUAAACUUGCCUUAUAAUUAUAUUCUGAAUUCAGCCGUUUACCACCUUCAGUGCUGCCACUAAGACACCAUCAUUUUUUAUUGGAUCAUAGCCGCAUACUCAUCAUUUACUCCUAUUUUUCCCUGCUUUCUCAUGAAAAUUUCCCCCUUCAAACAUAAUACCAGCCAGAACCAUCAUUUCAAAUUUUUAUGUUAUGUUCCUUCCAUACUUAAAACUUAAAAUAGCUUCUCUAUGCACACAUAAUAAAACCCAAAUCCCUUACCAUGACCUUCAAGAUGGUAUACUCUGGCCACUGCCUAUUCUCCAACUUUAUCUAGUUCUCACCCAUCUAAUUGCUUCUCUAUUUCUGUCAUGUGCCAGGCUUUUUCUAGUCUGUAGCAGAGAUAUGUUAGUUGUCUCUAAACUUUCCUCCAUUUUUUUUGUAGUGAUAAACAUGGAUACAUGACUGCCUAGAAUAAAGACUAUAUUUUCCAGCC